GUGCCAGCCGCCGCGGUAAUACGGAGGGUGCAAGCGUUAUUCGGAAUGACUGGGCGUAAAGCGCACGCAGGCGGAUAAGUAAGUCAGAUGUGAAAGCCCCGGGCUUAACCUGGGGAAUUGCAUUUGAAACUGCUUGUCUAGAGUAUGUCAGAGGAAGGCGGGAACUUCCAGUGUAGCAGUGAAAUGCGUAGAUAUUGGAAAGAACACCGAUGGCGAAGGCAGCCUUCUGGGGCAAUACUGACGCUCAUGUGCGAAAGCGUGGGUAGCAAACGGGAUUAGAUACCCCGGUAGUCCACGCCCUAAACGAUGUCAACUAGGUGUUGGGGACCUUGAGUUCUCGGUACCGGAGCUAACGCAUUAAGUUGACCGCCUGGGGAGUACGGCCGCAAGGUUGAAACUCAAAGAAAUUGACGGGACCCGCACAAGCGGUGGAGCAUGUGGUUUAAUUCGAUGCAACGCGAAGAACCUUACCAGGCCUUGACAUCCAGAGAACAUUUAGAGAUAGAAUGGUG
rnacentral:rRNA from 1 species